ensembl:lncRNA
AUAUCAGGAUGCUGUACUAAAUCCGGUCGCAUUUCGCAGUAGGCCUAUGAAGGCCAGCAUGAUUUUUGUCUAUUUUGACCAACAAUCCUCUGCACAGCAGAAGGCACAGAAGCCCGUAAAGAGAUCUCCUGGCAGCUGGGAGGACCAACACGGGGGGCGAGAGUACUGCAGAUGAACACAGCGAGAGAACCUUCGCCUCAAGAUGGCCGCCGACAAGAAGCAGAUUUUCAGAGUCGGGGAUUUGCAUUUCAUUUCGGAACGUUACAUGGAAUGCAAAUCCCCAGUUGCUGUCGGC